CUUGGAAGAAGCGAGAGAGACAUGCUGAGGUCUGGGGAAGGAGCACUGCAGGCCAGGGAAACUUGGGAUAGGCCCCAGGGCAGCAGGAGAGUGCUUGGCAGGUGUGGGGCAUAGGAAGGAGGGCAGGGUGGCCAGAGGAGAGGGCAAGGAAGAGAGGGGCAGAAGAUGAAGUCAGAUCGGCCAUGGGAAGUUGGCUUUUUCUCUGAAUCAAACAGGGAGCCACUGGAGGGUAUGAACAGAGGUAUGACAGGAUCUGUCUUAUGUUUUUAACAGAACAAAGUCUUUUGUGUUGAGGGCGGACAGUAGAGGGGCAGGGUAAAAUCAGGCAGACCACAUGGGAGGGUAUAGGCAUCAUUCCUCUAGCCCAGGAUAGGAGUGGUGGAGGUGACUUAAGGUUGCUGUGUACAGUUGAGUAGGUUGGGCAUAGCACAUCUAGGGUACCCACUCACAUGGAUGUGAUGGGACUGGCACUCUUAAGAGUUUUGCAGUGUGCAACAUGCAUAGCUGUGUGCAGUAACACUGUAAGAAGUGGGUACGAUUCUACGAAGGCAGGGAUUUCACUUUGCUCUAUGAUCUAACCCUAGUGCUUUAGAAGUGUCUGGCAGAGAGCAGGUACUCAAUAAAAAUGUGUUGUGUGAAUGAUAUGUCUGAUUCCACCUCCUGCAUUCUUGGAAAUGCAGUGUUGGCAGGUGAGUCAGUGAAAGCUAAAGUGUGUGUUGGCAGAUUGUGCAAAUGUCUCCAUUUGUCUUUGAUGGCCACUUUAAGUGUUUUGGUAUGAAAGCCUCUUUGUACCUUAGAACACUAUCAUUUCAUGUCAUCAAGAGCAAGCCAGUUUUUAUCAGCCUGCUUUGCCAAGAAGAAGGAAAAAUAAACUGUUCUAGUUUGUCAUCCCCUCCUCCCAAGCAUCACGUCUGAGUCACCUCUCACUCGCUGAUCUGUUCUGGCUGCAAUUAAAGUUAAAUCACCUUUGGGACCAGAACAGUCUCAUCUUUAUUUACAGCACCUGCAAAUCAAGCAGCUCCUCCUAAUUUUAACAGCUCCUUUAGUGGCAAAAGUCGCUUUUCAAAAGGAACAGGUGGAGAAGUGAUAAAGAAUGGUGAUGGAAGAUUUUCUUCUGGGGAUAGAAUGGAGAACAGGCCAGGAGAAAAGAGCCAAUUUGUGCUGUGGCAGCGGAUGCCCCACACAUUCUGGGCUCAAGUCUGGGUACUGCCUUUUAUCAGCUGCAUGACCUUGAACAGGUCAAGGGAACUUGCUGAGCCUCAGGUACCUUAGCAAUAAUGUGACAGGUGGGGACAGUUCCUGGCCAGCCAUUUCAGAGGACUAAAUAAACCCAAAGAAGAUAACGUAUGAGAAAGUUCUUGGCCAGGCGUGGUGGCUCAUGCCUGUAAUCCCAGCACUUUGGGAGGCCAAGGUGGGCGAAUCACGAGGUCAAGAGAUUGAGAUCAUCCUGGCCAACAUGGUGAAACCCCAUCUCUACUAAAAAUACAAAAAUUAGCUGGGUGUAGUGGCGCACGUCUGUAGUCCAGCUACUUCGGAGACUGAGGCGGGAGAAUUGCUUGAACCUGGGAGGCAGAGGUUGCAGUGAGCCGAGAUUGCGCCACUGCUGUCCAGCCUGGGUGACAGAGUGAGACUCUGUCUCAAAAAAAGAAGAAAAAAAAGAAAAAGGAAAGAAAUAAAGAACAGAAAAAGAAAGAAAUAGCAUACAGGAAUAAGUUAAACAUUUGCAGACAACAUAAUGUUUACAAAGAAAAUUCCAAGGAAUCUACAAAAGCACUCCUAGAACUAAUAAGUUCAGCAAAAAAAAAAAAAAAAA
ensembl:lncRNA